GGAGAGGUGGGUGAGUGGCUGAAACCAACAGUUUGCUAAACUGUCGUACUCGCAAGGGUACCGAGGGUUCGAAUCCCUCCCUCACCGCCA
rnacentral:tRNA from 1 species